rnacentral:rRNA from 1 species
CCUCCUAUCGGGGCUGUUAGCGCGGUCUGUCGGGAUCAAUCAGGAGCAUAUGCUGGGUCAGCAGCGGUGGUAUUCCAUGGUAUGACCGACCCGAAUAUAUUGGAAGCUCUGGCAUGUCGCGAGGCUAUUGCAUUAGCCAGGGAUCUCGCACUGACUCAUUUUAUGGUGGCUUCAGAUUGCCUUUCGGUGGUCAAGGACAUACAAACUGGAACUAUGGGUACAAUUGCUCCAAUCGUGCAGGAGAUCAUCGACUCGAGCAGGGAGUUUCAGUCCUGCUCUUUCACCCAUGAGAGACGUCUUUCCAACAAGGAGGCUCAUGGCUUAGCUAGACAUGCUUUACAUUUAGGGGAGGGUCGCCAUGUAUGGCUGUUACACCCUCAUGAUACUUCUAUUAUUCCUGUAAUUCUCUCUAUUGAUCAAUAA